AUAUAAACUAUACCACAUAACAUCAAGCAUAUAUAACUUGAUUGAGAAUAUCAUAUCACUAUUCUUCAUCAAUUUCCACACCUACCAUAUCUAUACACACUAGCUAGCUAGCAACUAUGGCUGAUCUUCAUCAUCAUCAAAUUGAUGCAUUCAACAAAGGUCUUGUUGGUGGUGUGUUAAAGAACAUUGAGGAUGUUGAUCAAAAGGGUCAUCACCAUCAUCACCAUAAUCAAUAUCAUCAUCCAAGAAUGCCACCAAGUUCCUUUCCAAUUCCCAUGCCCGGAAGGAAUCGCCAGCAACAAGCACCAUACAACGGUUACUUUGGAAGGCAAAGGGUGAAAGGUAGUUUCGGUAAUAAUCAACAACAACCCCACACUACUGCAGCAACCAAUACUAAGUGAUGAUGAUCAAAUUCAAGUCUUUAAUAAUUAAGCUAAGUUCAUGUCACAUAGGAAAUUAAACUAUAUAAUAAAAUAGCGUAUGUACGGCAUAUAUAUGUAUGUGUGAAUUUAUGUGUCAUGUGUAUUGUAAAUUAGGGUUUGUGGGUGUGCUUGAAUAAUAGCUUUUUCGAGGCCAGAGUGUCUUCAAUUAUUAUAGAUUAUAUAUAGAUGAAGCAUCAAUCAUGCAUGUGUGUUUUUCAUGCUUUUAUAACUAUGAGGCACAUAUAUAUAUAGUUGUAAUUUAAAGCUUUUACAGGUUUGAGUUUAUAUAAGGACUUUAAUUAUUUGUUGCCUUUCUAUAUAGAGAUUGCAUGCCAUAGUUUAGGAGUUCAAGG
rnacentral:lncRNA from 1 species